CUAACCACCAUCAAACCAUCUUAGAUUUACAGCUAAAAUAUAAUAAUAAUAUAUCAGCAGUAGUGGUUUAAUUUAUAUAAUUAGUUUGUUGCAUUUUAGCUACGGUGCUAAAUAGGAUAUUUUGAUUGUGUAAUGCAAGAGGCUGCAUUAUGUUGUAAUAAGCUGAAUUGUUAAAAUCCUUCACAUUUUUUCGUAUAUCUAGACUGCAGUAGUCAAUAGAAAAAGCUGCUAAGGCAGAAGAACAAGACAUUCCCACAUGAAAAAUAUGAACAACAAGUAGCAGAGGAUUGUGCUUGAUGCAUGAAAGAGCAGCAAAUACUGAACAGAUAAAGUGAGGGUUAUUAUCUCUUACUUCAUGCUUCAGGAGUUUGAAUAUGCUAAGAGACUCAAGAGUUGAAGUGCUGUAGCAGCAGCAAUCUGGAGAGCAAGAAACAUUGCCUAAGUGCCAGGACUGCCAGGCUGUCACAUUCCUACCUGGGCUGGCUCUCAGACAGAAGCGUGGCCAGAGGUCUGCAAGUGUCUUGAAUACUGUCCAUACCAUCAAAAAACUCUGAAAAUGUUAAUACUCCAAGGGUUGGGAUGAUUUUUUUUUGGGGGGGGGGUGUGGUUUUUUUGUUUUGGGGGGUGGGGGGAUAGGUGUUUGUUUGUUGGUUGGGUUUUUUUUGUGGGGGUUUUGGGGGGAUUGUGUGGUUUUGUUAGUUUUUUGUGGGGUUUUGUGAGGGUUUGGGGGGUGUUUUGUUUGGGUUUUUUUGUUGUCUUGUUUUGUUUUGGGGUUUUUUUGGUACAUAAAAUUUCAAUCACUGUAGUUAAUAUCCAAGGUGUAGGGUAGCUUCUUUUGCCUGUAAUUAUAAGAAGUUCAGGAUGGGAAUAUAUUACUUGAGGAAUGGGAGCUGGGCAGAGUAUCUGUUUUUUCCUCUAAAUUCUUAAACAAGUUUGCUGUUGCUGAAUGCUAAAUGCUAAGCAAGGUGGGAGCCAGUAUCUUCUGUAGUUUGAGAACAAGUAACUUUUCUCAUGGUAAGAGUCUCCACAGCUUUCCCAUGAAAGCAAGCAAGCUUCUUGCUGAGGGUAAAUGGGUGCAGUUCCUCCCCAGCCGAUGAAAAUCUGGCUUUAAGGAAUUGUUUAGCAAGUGUUUCUUGUUUUGAUUAUUUUCCUUUUUUAGACUAUUUGUCACUACUGGUCAGUCAAACACUUCCAGCAAGCCAGGAACACUCUGUUACAGAGCCACUGAUACAAAUCCCCUUGUCCCAGCUAAUGCAAUAUUAAAUGCAAAAGAACUUUACAGUUCUGUGAUAUGUUUUCAAGUCUGAAAGAAGCUCAUUUUUGCUAAGGAACAUGACAGGGGUCUGGAAACUGUUGUCAUAUGAGACUUAAAAAUAUUUUGUACAACAAAGAUCCUAACUUUUCAGAGUUUGGGAUGUUUUGGAGAGUGGCCUAAUACUUGCCUGGUUUUUUUUUGUUUUGGGAUCAACUACCCUUUGUUUGAUGGGCUUUCUUUCAUUUCUAAAGCUACUUCCAGUUCCAUAAUUUUUUUCUUCAGACCUCCCCACUUUUCUAAGACCUCAAGAUACAUUAUGUGCUCCUGACUAAAUUGAGGAUAUAUGUGUGGGGCCAAGCCUCUUCUCUUACAUGCUGCAGUAAAAAAGGUAUUGCUUGGGAGCUUCAACUCAUGUGAUUUAAGGAAUAGCAGCCACUGCAUUACCCUACCAAAGUGAACAUACUGGUGUUAGAUUUUACUGUCUUCUUCAGUGCAAAUCAUGAAUGAAGAAGUUCCUGUGAAUUAUCGAUCUGUUUCAGAGCCACUUAAGAAAGAGCAUCACAGUCCUGGGUGAAAUCUUGGACAGAGCCUGUCAGUGGAAAAACUCCCAAGACAGCACAAUAUUUAGCUUAAGAUUCUAGUUUCUAUAAUCUCACAAGCUCACUCUAGACAGGAUAUAGGUACUGUAGCUCUGAAGCUCCUUCUUCCUUUUUGACUCUUGUUAGCAUGGAUCAAAGACAAUCUUCACAUAAGUUAGUUUUCUUUUACUAUUACUCAUUGAUAAUAAUAUUGUGCUGUGCAUCCAAAGUCAAAAGGAAAAGAGGAAUAACUUCCAAUCACUUAUAUCACUUAUACUGGAAAUUAAUUCAGAAUCAUCUCCUUUGUGAUUUAGGGAGGUAUACUGCUAAAGUUCACAGUGGACUUAUUUUUGUAAUUUUUGAGAUAAUUCUAAGAAAAGCAGCUGAAAAUGGCUUUAAAAAUUUCCUGCAAACAACCAUGUUCAAAGCUUUUGGCUUGAUGUAAUAUUUUUAAAAGAAGUUGAGAACUUUCCUUUACAAAAAAUUUGAAAACAUCUUAAUCAGGAUGAAAUAAAAAUCCAGAUUGAAGAUAACUGAAAAAACAGGUGAACUUUAUAGAAUUGGAGAGGGAGAAUUCAUACUGAAACAAGCUGACAACAGAAAUAAUAAUUCAUUAAAGAUUUUGGUUAACCUGAGUACUCUUGUGUUCUCAAUCAGACAGCAUUGUCCAUUUCCAUAGUGAUGGCUAUUUCAGAUUGUAAUCUCCAUGGGCAACACCGAAAACAGCACUGUUGUUUAGCCAAGGGUAGAAUAACUGAGUGCAAUCCUCUCUGGAUUUGUGUGGAGCCACAACAGUGAUGUUAGAAUAAGUUAACUUGGAAAUGUAGCCUAUUUAGUAGCAGUCAGCAAUGUGCAUUGCUCAGCUCCACUUCACUAUUCAUGAUUCAGAGGAAAUUUAAACCUCUCGUUCAGUUGCAUGCUAUUAACAGAUUAAGUUUCAUCCUUCCUUCUACUGAACAAGUAUAAAGUCAGUUUGUAUUAGCAGUACAAUCAUAUCCUUUGCAUUUUACCAAAUAGCAGGAAUUUUCAGUCAGUCUUUAAUGUGUCUUAAUGUUAGAACAGUCCUACUGUUCUAGCUGCUACAAAUUAUCUCAUUCAACCAGUCAAAAAUAGCAUUCAAAUAAUGCUAUUUGCUUUCUCCAGUUAGCUCAGGAACUCUGUCUCAUUAUGGUGGGAUAUUAUGUGCAGCUACACCUACUUUUGUCACUUCUUUACUGGGCCAGAGUAAUAGCCAGGAACACAGGAUAGGAAAGGACAUUCCAAGUAAAGUUUGUCCCAUUGCUCUCCUCAUUGCCGUGUCAUACAGCCUGUUCCAGUAACUUGCCAAGCUCCAUCUUUACAACAGGUAACCUGAGUGGGAAGUCAGGCAGCCCCCUGGGAAUGCCAGCCAGUGCUGGCUGCUAAAGCACAGCCAGAAACACACCAUGCCCAGCUACUGGUGCUGGUCCCACCAGAGCACAUCUAAAUCCACUCACAUACAGCACCAAUUCUUCAUGCCAACAGAUCCAGGUCUUGCAGCAUGGGUGAGGCCACACAACACACUGCUGAGAGCUCUAGGCUGAAAACCUUCUCUUGAAAGUGGGGUGCUGGUGGUUGUCCCAGUGCUCCUGAAAAGAAACUAUGUGAAGGAAAGGAAGUGCCUGUAGGCUUUUGCAGUUUUGCAAAUAUGCCCCAUGGCUCCCAUGGCUUUCUUUCCAUUCACACCACACUUCAAAGGUGAGAAAACCUCUUCCAGGAGCACCUCACAUUAGAAUUUAACAGUUUAAAGAGGACAGGUAGGGUUUGAUUUUGAUUUAAUGUCUAGCAUGAUCUUAUCCAAAGAACAAAAAUUAUCUGCCUCUGACAGAUAUUUCCAAUGUCAUUUUAUGUAUCUAUCAAAAGUAGUUGUUUAUCUGAACCUACACCAAACCAAACUCAUCCCACCACUGAAGUGGUGUCACAUCCAAGAGCAAAAAUCUUGGGGUAUUAUAGGAAAACCUUCUACUGACUUCAUCCUGUGCCAGCCUGAGCCCUUAUUUGGCAAUUUUCCUGAAUGACAAAAAAGCAAAAAACAGCAUGUGUCUUCUUCUGGAAGACAGAAAGCAUCUUGUCUGCCUCUUAUUCAAGGUUUCAAACAAUAAUUCUCCUUUAUGACUACGUAUUGUUUCUGGCAAUAAUUACGGAUAUAAAGUAGAUAAGUUUGGUGUAAAUUAGCAACACUCUGUGAAGUCACUGGAGCUGUGCCAGUAUAUACCAGUUGAAGGAAUGGCACAUAAUGUGAUCUUCUGGAGCUGUGCCAA